AUUGAACGCUGGCGGCAUGCCUUACACAUGCAAGUCGAACGGUAACAGGUCUUCGGAUGCUGACGAGUGGCGAACGGGUGAGUAAUACAUCGGAACGUGCCCGAUCGUGGGGGAUAACGAAGCGAAAGCUUUGCUAAUACCGCAUAAGAUCUAAGGAUGAAAGCAGGGGACCGCAAGGCCUUGCGCGAACGGAGCGGCCGAUGGCAGAUUAGGUAGUUGGUGGGAUAAAAGCUUACCAAGCCGACGAUCUGUAGCUGGUCUGAGAGGACGACCGACCACACUGAGACUGAGACACGGCCCAGACUCCUACGGGAGGCAGCAGUGGGGAAUUUUGGACAAUGGGCGAAAGCCUGAUCCAGCCAUGCCGCGUGCAGGAUGAAGGCCUUCGGGUUGUAAACUGCUUUUGUACGGAACGAAAAGACUCUGGUUAAUACCUGGGGUCCAUGACGGUACCGUAAGAAUAAGCACCGGCUAACUACGUGCCAGCCGCCGCCGUAAUAC
rnacentral:rRNA from 1 species